AUUUCAUUCUGACUGGUGCACUUGAGCCAGCGUUAUAAAUCUUCAAACCUUCAAAAUUAUAAUUACAUGACUAUGGCAUUUGGCUUAUUUAUAUAUUGAAGUCAUCAUGGCUGAAAGUAGGCAUAUAUACGAUUUUGGCUCAUUGAUUCAAGACAGUAAAACCAGCGAGAUUUCUUCUGUAAGAAAGGAUUAUGAAGCAAAAGUCUACUGCCAUUCCGACUAAAACAGACCUGUUUCGAAAAGGAAAGCUGGCGAGAGAUCUUAACGCAGAGUUGCUUAUCCCUAAGCAUAUGGGAGAUAAUUGGCGGGCUUUAAAAACUAGAGGUGAUGGUAACUGCGUGAACAUUUCUUUGCUAUAUCUACGUAUCUUUUUCUGCUGUUGGUGGAGUGAUAUUAUCAAUGAAAGAAGAAGAAUAACAUUUAUCAUUACUUGUUGCCUGCCUUUAGUACGAUGAUUACAUCGUGAACAUUUCUUUGCUAUGUCUACGUAUCUUUUUCUGCUGUUGGAAGAGUGAUAUUAUCAAUGAAA